rnacentral:rRNA from 1 species
AUACGUAGGUGACAAGCGUUAUCCGGAUUUACUGGGCGUAAAGGGCGUGUAGGCGGUCUUGCAAGUCAGAAGUGAAAUUCCUGAGCUCAACUCGGGCGCUGCUUCUGAAAAUGCAGGACUUGAGUGCUGGAGGGGAUAGCGGAAUUCCUAGUGGAGCGGUAAAAUGCGCAGAUAUUAGGAAGAACACCAGUGGCGAAGGCGGCCUGCUGGACGACAACUGACGCUGAGGCGCGAAAGCGUGGGGAGCAAACAGGAUUAGAUACCCUGGUAGUCCACGCUGUAAACGAUGAUUACUAGGUGUGGGGGGACUGACCCCUUCCGUGCCGCAGUUAACACAAUAAGUAAUCCACCUGGGGAGUACGGCCGCAAGGUUGAAACUCAAAUGAAUUGGCGGGG